rnacentral:rRNA from 1 species
GUUAAAGCCCCUUCGGGGGUGUAUAAAGUGGCGGACGGGCGAGGAAUACGUUCCUACGUACCCCGAGGUCGGGGAUAGCCCGGGGAAACCCGGAGUAAUACCCGAUGUGGUCCCGACUUCGUCGGGAUCAAAGGCUUGCCGCCUUGGGAGCGAGGAACGUCCUAUCAGGUUGUUGGUGAGGUAACGGCUCACCAAGCCGACGACGGGUAGCGGGUGUGAGAGCAUGACCCGCCGCAUCGGGACUGAGACACUGCCCGGACUCCUACGGGAGGCUGCAGUAACGAAUCUUCCGCAAUGCGCGAAAGCGUGACGGAGCAAUGCCGCGUGCAGGAUGAAGCCCUUCGGGGCGUAAACUGCUGUCAGGGUUUAGCAACCCAAUGAGCGAACCCAAAGGAAGGGCCGGCUAACUUCGUGCCAGCAGCCGCGGUAAUACGAAGGGCCCGAGCGUUAAUCGGAAUCACUGGGCUUAAAGCGUACGUAGGCGGGCGCGCAGGCAUCUUGUGAAAUCCCUCGGCUCAACCGAGGAACUGCUUGGUGAACCGCGCGUCUUGAGGCAAGUAGGGGCUGUCGGAACGCUAGGUGGAGUGGUGAAAUGCGUUGAUAUCUAGCGGAACGCCGAAGGAGAAAUCAGGCAGCUGGGCUUGUUCUGACGCUGAGGUACGAAAGCGUGGGGAGCGAACGGGAUUAGAUACCCCGGUAGUCCACGCCGUAAACGAUGUGCACUAGAUC